UUGUAAGAGACAGCAGCAGCCGCGGUAAUACGCAGGGGGCUAGCGUUGCUCGGAAUUACUGGGCGUAAAGGGAGCGUAGGCGGGUCGUUUAGUCAGAGGUGAAAUCCCGGGGCUCAACCUCGGAGCUGCCUUUGAUACUGGCGACCUUGAGUAUGGGAGAGGUAAGCGGAACUCCGAGUGUAGAGGUGAAAUUCGUAGAUAUUCGCAAGAACACCAGUGGCGAAGGCGGCUCACUGGCCCGGAACUGACGCUGAGACGCGAAAGCGUGGGGAGCAAACAGGAUUAGAUACCCCCGUAGUCCCUGUCUCUUAUAC
rnacentral:rRNA from 1 species